UAGGGAAUCUUCGGCAAUGGACGAAAGUCUGACCGAGCAACGCCGCGUGAGUGAAGAAGGUUUUCGGAUCGUAAAGCUCUGUUGUAAGAGAAGAACGAGUGUGAGAGUGGAAAGUUCACACUGUGACGGUAUCUUACCAGAAAGGGACGGCUAACUACGUGCCAGCAGCCGCGGUAAUACGUAGGUCCCGAGCGUUGUCCGGAUUUAUUGGGCGUAAAGCGAGCGCAGGCGGUUAGAUAAGUCUGAAGUUAAAGGCUGUGGCUUAACCAUAGUACGCUUUGGAAACUGUUUAACUUGAGUGCAAGAGGGGAGAGUGGAAUUCCAUGUGUAGCGGUGAAAUGCGUAGAUAUAUGGAGGAACACCGGUGGCGAAAGCGGCUCUCUGGCUUGUAACUGACGCCGAGGCUCGAAAGCGUGGGGAGCAAACAGGAUUAGAUACCCUGGUAGUCCACGCCGUAAACGAUGAGUGCUAGGUGUUAGACCCUUUCCGGGGUUUAGUGCCGCAGCUAACGCAUUAAGCACUCCGCCUGGGGAGUACGACCGCAAGGUUG
rnacentral:rRNA from 1 species